rnacentral:rRNA from 1 species
UACGUAGGGGGCGAGCGUUACCCGGAUUUACUGGGCGUAAAGAGCGUGUAGGCGGCUGGCCAAGCGUGAUGUGAAAUCUUCGGGCUUAACCCGAAAACUGCAUUGCGAACUGGUCUGGCUAGAGUGUGUGAGAGGGUAGUGGAAUUCCCGGUGUAGCGGUGAAAUGCGUAGAUAUCGUCUGGAACGCCGAAGGUGAAAACAGCUCGCUGGGGCUGCGCUGACGCUGAGACACGAAAGCCAGGGGAGCGAACGGG